UCUUCAGAUAAUACAAAUCUUUCACCUUUUACUAAAGAUUUCUGUGGAGA
rnacentral:snRNA from 1 species